GCUCUGUCUCUGUGUCUCCCUCCCUCUUCCCCCUCCCUCUCUUGCUCUCUCUCUCCCUUCCCGUCUCUGUGGUUUGUAAGGUAGGUUGCAGUGUGUGUAUAUACACAACAUCAAGAGCAGGAAAAUGGACUCAUUAGGGAGGCAGGCAGUCAUUACCACUCACACUGUACUUCCAGGGAGACACCGAUUAUGAGAAGAGAAACUCAGUGCUGAGGAACAAGAUUCACAGAAAAAAAUUGUUAAGAAUUGUUCUUAACUGUUACAGACUUUGGAGAGUGAAGGUAGACUGAAUUAUCUGUUCCUUUGAGGAUUGUGACUAUCAAAGAAAGAAGGCAGCUUAGAAGACUGCCUGAAGUUACAUUUGGAGGCUGAAAUCACUGCACCUUAAAAACAAAAAAGAUUGAGCUUUACUGCAUUCCUGUAAGUAAAAACUUCCUCUACCUUUCUCCAUGUGUAUGUCACAAGCCCCUAAAUGAUAAAAGCAGUAGUAAUAGUAACCUGACUUAGGUAAACAUCUGAGUGUCCUGGAUUGGAAGUAUAAGUUUAAAUGAUUUCCUCUCUUUAAAAAAAGUUUAUUGGGCUAAUUCAAUGUAUCUUUUUAUCAAACCCAAAUUUUAAUCUUUAUUGUUGGCUGUUUUGAAUUGCAUUAAGGAUACUAUAUAGUUCAGCACAGACAUACAUUUCUCUUCAUCCCAUCAUUGAAGAUUCCUACAUUUUGGUUUGAAGAUAAUAGAUGGCCCCAAUUUCUGAUGACAUCAAAGUAGAAUCCAUUUUUCCUUUGUGAUGUCAUUAGAAAUCAUUAUCCUUUAUUGCAGAGGAAAUGGAAAGAAACAGAAAGUUCUUGAUGACAUCACAAUAGAAUUGUGCUGUCUUGAGGACUUUGGACAGAACUAAGCAAGAUGCAUAAUUCCCUUGUGUGCGUGUGUUCCCCGUUCUGCUAUGAAGCAGUCAAAAUAGCACAUCUUAUGUCUUCCUGUGAGCUACAAGGCUGUCUCUCAGAGCCCCAUUGUUCCAUAAAUGCAUGUCAGAGUCUACCGCAGUCUGGCCUACCCUUAUUUAGCUGCUGUUUUGUCAAUGUACUUGGAAGAACAAUUAACAUUUGGGAUUUCAAUGUCUGAAUAACAGGCAGUGAAUAGAACCCUAGCAUAUAAAAGAUUCAGAUGCCCAGAGUAAAAGAGAGAGAGAGAGGAGAGAGAGAGAG